CCAACGCCAUACCACAGAGUCCAUAAGUAGGGUUGCCACCCGUCCUGUAAAAUACAGAAUCGUCCCGUAUUUGGCUGAUAAAUGUUGCGUCCCGUGUUGAACCGAUACGGGAUGCGAUUUGUUCCGUAUUUCUAUAAAUGUCCAAUGGACACGCCUAUCACACACAUAUCAACACUAUGGGUGCAUUCACAC